CCACAACUAUACCUUUGAAAUGGCAGUACAAAUGCAUAAACAAAAGAUACAAAGUUUAACUCACCUUAACUCCAUUGCCAUUUUUCUUGGUACCUCCCAACAUCACCAACAACAUAUUUUUUUUUUUGAAGUGGGAAAAUGGCAACAGUUACAACACAAGCUUCAGCUGCCAUUUUCCGGCCAUGUGCCUCAAAAACCAGAUUUCUCACUGGAUCAUCUGGUAAAUUAAACAGAGAGGUCUCUUUUAAGCCCUUGACUUCUUCAUCUUACAACUCAUUCAAGGUUGAAGCCAAGAAAGGUCAAUGGCUUCCAGGCUUAGCCUCUCCUACUUAUCUUGAUGGCAGGUACAUACAUUCAAGAUCAUAUUUUUUUGUUGCCUUUAUAAUUGGGUUAUCCAGUUGUUUUCUAAAAACUUAAAUAAUUAUGCGUGUAGUCUUGAUUCUUUUUCAUGAGCCAAGUAUGUUGUUUUUUUAAAUAAAAAAAAUAUUCGGUGGCGGUAAGACUUAAUCACAGGACUAGGUCUGCUCGAUAUCAUAUUGAAUUGUGUGACUACCUCAUCCGAAAACUUAAGCUAUUACAAAGAGCAUACUUUUACUAAUGGUUUUUAGCCUUGUUCUAAUACUCGAAUGCUUGCUUGUCUUAGUCUCCCAGGAGACAAUGGUUUUGAUCCAUUGGGACUUGCUGAGGACCCAGAGAACUUGAAAUGGUUCGUCCAGGCUGAACUGGUGAACGGUCGUUGGGCUAUGUUGGGUGUUGCUGGGAUGCUGCUGCCUGAGGUUUUCACUAACAUUGGAAUCCUUAACGUGCCCAAAUGGUAUGAUGCUGGAAAAGAAGAGUACUUUGCAUCUUCAUCCACCCUGUUCGUGAUCGAGUUCAUCUUGUUCCACUACGUCGAGAUCAGAAGGUGGCAAGACAUCAAGAACCCAGGAAGUGUUAACCAAGACCCCAUCUUCAAGAACUACAGCUUGCCUCCUAACGAAGUUGGAUACCCUGGUGGUAUUUUCAACCCACUCAACUUUGCACCAACUGCUGAGGCCAAAGAAAAGGAAAUUGCUAAUGGUAAGUCCAACUACCACAACCCUGUUAUAUUUCAUGUACGAUCACUAAACUUGAUCCACUGUAACAAUAAAAUACCAUAACUAAUUUUUUCACAUGAAGUAACUGAACUUUAUCUACUAUAAUAGUAACAUCACUAACUUUCACAUGGAUAAUAUGCAGGGAGAUUGGCAAUGUUGGCAUUUUUGGGAUUCAUAGUGCAGCACAAUGUAGUAGGAAAGGGACCUUUUGACAACCUUCUGCAACACCUCUCCGACCCAUGGCACAACACCAUUGUCCAAACACUCGGCAACUAGAAAACCUCAUGGAAACUGGAUUGAAUAUAUUGUUACCCUUGUAACCAUGUUAUGGUUUUUGAUCAAGAAUAGAGCUUUGUGGUAAACAAGGAACCUUUAAUGUACAGGGCAUUUUAAAUUGCAAGUCUUAUUCGUGUUAUUUCCACCCUAUCGUCAGUAUAUAAAGUGGAAGAAAAGCCCCCUUUAGCUAAUUCGAGACGCUUAUCUAGACUUGGAUUUGGUAAAGGGAAAGCUUUCUUUUAGUAGUUCAACUUAUGCAUCUCAAUUGCAAAAGAAAUCCCAGAAAUUUAUUGAAGCAAAGUGAAAUUGG
rnacentral:lncRNA from 1 species